rnacentral:rRNA from 1 species
AGUUCUCGUUGAUGAUCGGUGCUUGCACCGAGAUUCAACAUGGAACGAGUGGCGGACGGGUGAGUAACACGUGGGUAACCUGCCCUUAAGUGGGGGAUAACAUUUGGAAACAGAUGCUAAUACCGCAUAGAUCCAAGAACCGCAUGGUUCUUGGCUGAAAGAUGGCGUAAGCUAUCGCUUUUGGAUGGACCCGCGGCGUAUUAGCUAGUUGGUGAGGUAAUGGCUCACCAAGGCGAUGAUACGUAGCCGAACUGAGAGGUUGAUCGGCCACAUUGGGACUGAGACACGGCCCAAACUCCUACGGGAGGCAGCAGUAGGGAAUCUUCCACAAUGGACGCAAGUCUGAUGGAGCAACGCCGCGUGAGUGAAGAAGGCUUUCGGGUCGUAAAACUCUGUUGUUGGAGAAGAAUGGUCGGCAGAGUAACUGUUGCCGGCGUGACGGUAUCCAACCAGAAAGCCACGGCUAACUACGUGCCAGCAGCCGCGGUAAUACGUAGGUGGCAAGCGUUAUCCGGAUUUAUUGGGCGUAAAGCGAGCGCAGGCGGUUUUUUAAGUCUGAUGUGAAAGCCCUCGGCUUAACCGAGGAAGCGCAUCGGAAACUGGGAAACUUGAGUGCAGAAGAGGACAGUGGAACUCCAUGUGUAGCGGUGAAAUGCGUAGAUAUAUGGAAGAACACCAGUGGCGAAGGCGGCUGUCUGGUCUGUAACUGACGCUGAGGCUCGAAAGCAUGGGUAGCGAACAGGAUUAGAUACCCUGGUAGUCCAUGCCGUAAACGAUGAAUGCUAGGUG